UACGUAGGGUGCAAGCGUUGUCCGGAAUUAUUGGGCGUAAAGAGCUCGUAGGCGGUCUGUCGCGUCUGGUGUGAAAACUCAGGGCUUAACCCUGAGCUUGCAUCGGGUACGGGCAGACUAGAGUGUGCUAGGGGAGACUGGAAUUCCUGGUGUAGCGGUGAAAUGCGCAGAUAUCAGGAGGAACACCGGUGGCGAAGGCGGGUCUCUGGGCCGAUACUGACGCUGAGGAGCGAAAGCGUGGGGAGCGAACAGG
rnacentral:rRNA from 1 species